rnacentral:rRNA from 1 species
GCCAGACUCCUACGGGAGGCAGCAGUGGGGAAUAUUGCACAAUGGGGGAAACCCUGAUGCAGCGACGCCGCGUGAGUGAAGAAGUAUUUCGGUAUGUAAAGCUCUAUCAGCAGGGAAGAAAAUGACGGUACCUGAUUAAGAAGCCCCGGCUAACUACGUGCCAGCAGCCGCGGUAAUACGUAGGGGGCAAGCGUUAUCCGGAUUUACUGGGUGUAAAGGGAGCGUAGACGGUGAUGCAAGUCAGAAGUGAAAGCCCGGGGCUCAACUCCGGGACUGCUUUUGAAACUGUGUGACUGGAGUGCAGGAGAGGUAAGCGGAAUUCCUGGUGUAGCGGUGAAAUGCGUAGAUAUCAGGAGGAACACCAGUGGCGAAGGCGGCUUACUGGACUGUAACUGACGUUGAGGCUCGAAAGCGUGGGGAGCAAACAGGAUUAGAUACCCGGGUAC